AUAAAUUACACUUUCCUUUUUAUUCUCCAAUGGCGGCUUAAGGCAUAAAACUCCGUCACUAAUUCAGAACACGGAAACAACUCAUAGAGGUCUAAAACUCGCUAAGCAUCUGAACUGAUCGACUUGAGAACAUCGUUCAAGUACUUAUCUUCUUUGCAUGUUCUCUCUCCGGCUUAUAUAUAUAAAUAUAUAUGUGUAUAACAUAUAUGUACAUGUACGUGCACCACGUUUUUAUAUAGGUUUCAGAUUUGUCGCUAUCUCUCUCUCCUCUUUUUAAGAUUCUUUUUCUAGAUUUGUUCUCUCUCUCUCUCUCUCUUUUUUUUUUUUCCGGUCUCGUCGUUUUCGUUCAUCGGAAUGCCACCGAGUAAUCGAAGAUUAUCACACGUUGCUGCGCUGGAGUUUUAUAAGUUCGAUCAGAUCUGAGAACGGAAGACAGUUUGGUCUUAAUAAAAUCAUGUCUUUCAGGUACUUUCCUUCUUUGCAUGUUCUGUCUACUGUUAACCCACUUUUAAAGUUUUAAUUUUUAACAUUUUUUUUUCUUUUUCAUCGUUUCUACUAGUUAUAGAGAUUCAUUGGUUUAAGCAUUUUCAUGGGAAGAAGAAGAUGAUGGCGAGAGAAGUAGCUUCUGGGUUAUUGAUACUAUUCUCGAUACUGAUCUUUUUUUCUCCGGCGGCGGCUGGAAACGGCGGCGGGUGUAACUGCGAAGACGAAGGAGUAAGCUUCUGGAGCACAGAGAACAUCCUC
rnacentral:lncRNA from 1 species